rnacentral:rRNA from 1 species
GUAACAGGUCUCCGUAGGUGAACCUGCGGAGGGAUC